UCUAAAUACUACCCAGUGACCGAUAGCGUAUAGUACUGUGAAGGAAAGGUGAAAAGCACCCCGGGAGGGGAGUGAAAAAGAACCUGAAACCCUGUGCCUACAAGCACCUAGAGCGCGUCAAAGCGUGAUAGGGUACUUUUUGUACAACGGUCCGGCGAGCGAUUGUAUGCAGCAAGGUUAAGGACUUAAGGUCUGGAGCCGAAGCGAAAGCGAGUUUGAAAAGGGCGUUAAGUUGCAUAUAAUGGGCCCGAAACCGGGUGACCUACCCAUGGUCAGGUUGAAGUGGAAGUAAAAUUCCAUGGAGGACCGAACCGACCUCCUUUGAAAAGGCGGCGGAUGAACUGUGGGUAGCGGAGAAAUUCCAAUCGAACCCGGAGAUAGCUGGUUCUCCCCGAAAUAGUUUUAGGACUAGCCUCAAGUUAGAUACCUGGAGGUAAAGCACUGAAUAGCCUAGCGGCCGAGAGGUUAGCGAAGCUUAUCAAACUCAGAAUGCCAGAGUAUUGAUGCUUGGGAGUCAGACAGUGUCAGAUAAAUGUCAUUGUCAAAAGGGAAACAGCCCAGAUCUACAGCUAAGGUCCCAAAGUCAGGUUAAGUGGAAAACGAUGUGAAGAUACGCAGACAACCAGGAUGUUGGCUCAGAAGCAGCCACUCAUUCAAAGAGUGCGUAAUAGCUCACUGGUCGAGCGUCUUUGCGCGGAGAAUUUAACGGGGCUAAACCUGACACCGAAGCUUAGGCAAUACAGCAAUGUAUUGGGUAGGGGAGCGUUGUAUACGCGGUGAAACAGUAGCGCAAGCGGCUGUGGAGUGUAUAGAAGUGAGAAUGCCGGAAUGAGUAGCGCGAAUGCAGUGAGAAUCUGCAUGGCCGAAAGCCUCAGGUUUCUGGAGGAAGGUUCGUCCGCUCCAGGUUAGUCGGGAGCUAAGGUGAGGCCUAACGGCGUAGCCGAUGCACAGACGGUAGAGAUUCCGUCACCACCAAAAGAGUUAAACACAGGGACACAUAUGAAGUCUCGGAGCCGGGUGUUGGUUCCGGUAGCGAUCGAGGGAAAUUAGUACCGAAGUCCGGGAUGGAAGAUGGCGAGAAAAGCUGUGUGUAUUUCUGCGGUGCCCGUACCGCAAACCGACACAGGUAGGUAGGAAGAAGAUUCUAAGGCCAACGGGAGAAGGGUUGUUAAGGAACUCGGCAAAUUGACCCCGUAACUUCGGGAGAAGGGGUGCUGCAGCAAUGCAGCCGCAGAGAAUCGGCCCAAGCAACUGUUUACCAAAAACACAGGUUUGUGCUAAAUCGAAAGAUGACGUAUACGAGCUGGCGCCUGCCCGGUGCUGGAAGGUUAAGAGGAGAUGUGCAAGCAUUGAAUCGAAGCCCCAGUGAACGGCGGCCGUAACUAUAACGGUCCUAAGGUAGCGAAAUUCCUUGUCAGGUAAGUUCUGACCCGCAUGAAAGGCGUAAUGAUUUGGGCACUGUCUCAACAGCCCGCCCGGCGAAAUUGUAGUACCGGCG
rnacentral:rRNA from 1 species